GUAGGACGCGAGCGUUAUCCGGAUUUACUGGGCGUAAAGCGUGUGUAGGCGGCGUGACAAGUUGGGCGUGAAAGCCCCGUGCUCAACGCGGGGAGGCCGCACAAUACUGUCAGGCUAGAGGGCAUCAGAGGGGUGUGGAAUUCCCGGAGUAGCGGUAAAAUGCGCAGAUAUCGGGAGGAACACCGGUGGCGAAAGCGGCACCCUGGGGUGCACCUGACGCUGAGAGACGACAGCUAGGGGAGCGAACAGGAUUAGAGACCCUGGUAGUCCUAGCCGUAAACGAUGGAUGCUAGGUGUGGGAGUGAAGAACUUCUGUGCCGCAGCGAACGCGAUAAGCAUCCCGCCUGGGGAGUACGGCCGCAAGGUUAAAACUCAAACGAAUUGACGGGGACCCGCACAAGCAGCGGAGCGUGUGGUUUAAUUCGAUGCUACACGAAGAACCUUACCUGGGAUUGACAUAUGGGUGGUAGUGAGCCGAAAGGCAAGCGACCCUUCGGGGAGCCUAUACAGGUGCUGCAUGGCUGUCGUCAGCUCGUGCCGUGAGGUGUCGGGUUAAGUCCCGUAACGAGCGCAACCCCUGUCCUUAGUUACAAGUGUCUAAGGGGACUGCCGGCGGGAAGCCGGAGGAAGGUGGGGAUGACGUCAAGUCAGCAUGGCCCUUAUAUCCAGGGCGACACACACGCUACAAUGGUCGGUACAGAGGGCAGCGAAGCCGCGAGGUGGAGCGAAACCCAGAAAGCCGGUCGUAGUUCGGAUUGCAGGCUGCAACUCGCCUGCAUGAAGUU
rnacentral:rRNA from 1 species